UACGAAGGGGGCUAGCGUUGCUCGGAUUUACUGGGCGUAAAGGGCGCGUAGGCGGACAGUUAAGUCGGGGGUGAAAGCCCGGGGCUCAACCUCGGAAUUGCCUCGAUACUGGCUGUCUUGAGUGUGAGAGAGGUGUGUGGAACUCCGAGUGUAGAGGUGAAAUUCGUAGAUAUUCGGAAGAACACCAGUGGCGAAGGCGACACACUGGCUCACUACUGAACG
rnacentral:rRNA from 1 species